GAUGAACGCUAGCUACAGGCUUAACACAUGCAAGUCGAACGAAACUUCUUUAUCACCGAGUGCUUGCACUCACCGAUAAAGAGUUGAGUGGCGAACGGGUGAGUAACACGUGGGCAACCUGCCCAAAAGAGGGGGAUAACACUUGGAAACAGGUGCUAAUACCGCAUAACCAUAGUUACCGCAUGGUAACUAUGUAAAAGGUGGCUAUGCUACCGCUUUUGGAUGGGCCCGCGGCGCAUUAGCUAGUUGGUGGGGUAAAGGCUUACCAAGGCAAUGAUGCGUAGCCGAACUGAGAGGUUGAUCGGCCACAUUGGGACUGAGACACGGCCCAA
rnacentral:rRNA from 1 species